rnacentral:lncRNA from 1 species
UUCUGCAAAACCAUUUCCCUCUAGGAAUUGAAGUGCGUGGUGGCUGCAUGCAGAAAAUAUGAUAAGCAUGAUCACAGCCAUCACAAAGUACAAUUUUCUCAUCAUCACAAUCUUUAAGGCAAGCUCUACACAGACACGACGGACAGUAAUCACAAAGUACAAUUUUGUCAUCAUCACAAUCUUUAAGGCAAGCUCUACACAGGCACGACGGACAGUACCAGCAGGAGCCAUAAGUAUCCAACUGCUUUUUAGUCAAGCACCUCUCAUGGUAAAAUUUGUGA